GGGCAUGUGGUGUAGUUGGUUAUCACGCUCGCUUAGCAAGUGCAAGUGCGAGAGGGGUCCAGUUCGAUCCCGGACAUGUCCA
rnacentral:tRNA from 1 species